rfam:Selenomonas ruminantium subsp. lactilytica TAM6421 DNA, complete genome.
UACUCAUCAAGAGCGGUGGAGGGAUAGGCCCUAUGAAGCCGCGGCAACCAUUGACAUAUGUCAAAACGGUGCCAAUUCCUUUAGGUUUUACCUAUAAGAUGAGAG